rnacentral:misc_RNA from 1 species
UGACGUCGGCGCGCUCGCUCCCCGACCCCGCCAGCGGCGCACGUCACACUCGACACCCGCGACACCCUCGGCACCCGAGCCGAGCCGACCACCACACCGCGCCGCGCACCAUCACCCCGUCACUGUUUACUGUGGACCCCAUCGAGGCCUGGCCCCAGAAACCACCCAGUGUCGCGAUCUGUGCAAAAUCAGUAUCUGGUGAAAACAAACACAUCACAAGGCUUUAGCGCAGGCGCGCCGCAAGCGGACAUGAUGAGAGCGGCCAUCUUGGCCGAGGACGCACUUUCGCCUCGCCCCAGCUUCAAAGCUCGUUUCGAAAGCUCCAUAUAAGUCGUAAGGAACGAGCUAUGCGUCGUGGAGCAGGAUCCGCGGCGUGCGCCCUCUGAGGCCGCCCCGCGCCGCUAUCGAUCCGGUAGCGUCAUGGCGCCCGCGGAGUGAAUGCGGACAUCGGGACAGCGCCGCAGCCCCCGAACGCGAGCGGAGCGCCCGCCCAGUGAUAGUGCAAGAGUGGUCGCGCGGCAUGUGAGACAGAGUGUUGGCGUGGUUGGGAGGGCGCGCGGGCGGCGGCGGGCCCGGCUGACCGCGCGCCAUGGGCGAGGAGUACGCGCGUUCACCGUGCGAGCGCUUCCCGGCGACGGGCGCGUUCAGCGUGGCGCCGCCGGAGAGGCUCAGCCCGCCGCCGCCCGCGCCGCUGCCGGAUCGGUUCUCGGCGUCCCCGCGGCGGGUGCGCCGCUGUGCGGAGGCGGAGCGCGCGCGGCGGCCGCGGUACGUGCCGCCAGCAGCGCACGUGCCCGUGGAGCGCUAUGUGCCGCGGCCGCCGGCGCCGCUGCGACCUCCGCCGCCGGUGUACUGCGGGCUGGCGUGCAGGCCGCCGCCGCCAGCGCCGCGCAAGUGCUGCGGGCCCGCGUGCCGCGAGGAUAUCGCGGGCUCGCCGCCGCCGUCGCGCUACGUGGAGUACGUGGGCGCGGCGGCCGCGCGCCGGCUGGCCUGCACGCCGCCGCCGCCGCCGCCGCCCGCGCUGCAGCUGCCCUGCGAGCCCCAGGAGCCGCCGUGCUGUGUACAGGCUCGCAGGCGACCACAACCACCACAUGAUUGGUAUUAUCACUAUUUACAAUGGCGUUCAAGCGCGGGCCUGCUGGCGCCGCAGCUGGCAUGCCAGUCGUCAUCACCAGCGGCGUCAGCGCCGGCGCCCCCGCUGCCCGCGCCCGCCUCCCCUCCCCGCGUGGUCUCCGCCCCUCCCGCACCAACGCAACCCCCACCAGACCCCGCCCCCCAAGACCAAGAAGAUGGCGUCAGAUUACGGCGAACGCACACAGUCGCCGUACGAGACUACCUCAAGAGGGAAACGCAAACGUUCUUCGGCGUUCAGAAGAAUAAUGAGAGGGAACAAAGACGGCUUUGGUAUGAGAGGCGGAGGAGGCACGCGGCGCGGGCGCUCGGCGACCUCCGACCCGACCUGCCGCCCGAUCAUCAUCCUGAUGAUGAUGAUAUUAGUAUGUACGGAGCGUCGGGCGCAGCACCCAGAGAGGCGCGGGGGCGAGCGCGGGAGCGGCCCGACGUGUUGCCCGCGCCGGCGCCGCUGGAGGAGCCCGCGCCGCCCUCCCUGCCGCAGCCGGGGAAGGAUAGUGUCGCGCGGCUCACGCUCACCGGCCUUUCUUAUGUUGUUACUGCGGUGACACGGCGCUCGCGCCAAUCGACGUCUGCGCAGUGGUCUCGGUCAUUCCGCGGCGUGGUGCCCGACGAGGUGGAUGUCGACGAUGUGUUCUUCAUGCCGCCGACGUCGGCGACGCCGCUGCAGAGUCACGACGAGGCUGAUCAUGUUGACGCAUCUAAGGGGGCAAGAUCCCCACUGGGAUCAAGCAGCGUGGAAUACCGGAGACCAGAGCGGAGCGUGUCGUGGGGGGCUGGGGGAGCUCGGAUCCACACACCGAUGCUGGAACCUUUAGCCGACAACUCUAAUAGGAGGCAGUUCGGCAUGGGCGUUGUUGGUAGAUUCUUUAGGCGUUCGCUCCGCAAGUCGGUAGCACAUCAAGAGGAGGUGGCUCGCCAGCUCGACGAGCUGACGGACUACCGACCUUACUUCACGUGGUGGGUCAGCACGGUACAGACCCUGGUGCUGCUACUGUCUCUACUCUGCUAUGGGUUUGGACCUGUUGGCUUCGGGAGACAUACCCACUCCGGACAGGUUCUGGUAAAGAGCUUGAGUUUACAACAGGUUGAAUGGGAAGAGCCAGCCUCAUUCUGGCUGGGGCCUCGGGCCGCGGACCUGAUACAUCUAGGAGCAAAGUUCGCGCCCUGCAUGAGACGAGACGCAAGGAUAGCACGAGCGAUAGCUGCAUCAGCUCGGAGAGAGAGGGAUACGGCGUGCUGCAUACGAAAUGAUGAUUCAGGAUGUGUGCAGUCUUCUAAGGCUGACUGUUCGAUAAGAGGAUUAAUAUCAAAGAACACGAUCUCGACGUGGAAGAAAUGGUCCUCGGGAGAGUCGGGGCCUGGAGGUCGGAUAUCAGGGUCCGUUUGCGGAUUAGAUCCCAAAUUCUGCGAAGCACCGCGAUCGAUAGCACCGCACGAAUGGCCGGACGACAUUACAAAAUGGCCGAUCUGUCGCAAGUCGGUCCUCGACGGGUCUGCGGCCGCGGGUCGGGCAGGCCACGCCGCAGAGCACAUGGCUUGCGAAGUGAUAGGCCAUCCUUGCUGUAUAGGAGUCCACGGCCAAUGCGUCAUCACGACCAGAGAACACUGCGACUUCGUCAAGGGUUAUUUCCAUGAAGAAGCGUCUUUGUGUUCACAGGUGUCUUGUCUUGACGAUGUCUGCGGCAUGCUACCAUUUAUGCGGCGACGUCGUCCAGACCAGCUGUAUCGAGCAUGGACGUCUUUAUUCGUUCACGCGGGUCUGCUGCAUCUAGCAGCGACAUUGGCACUGCAGUGGCUCUUCAUGAGGGACCUGGAGAAGAUGGCCGGGCCAGUUAGAAUAGCUGUCAUAUAUUUAGGUAGUGGGGUCGCCGGGAAUAUGGCGUCUGCUAUAUUCGAACCUUACAGGGCGGAGGUGGGGCCAGCUGGAUCUCAUUUCGGUCUUCUGGCGUGUCUAAUAGUAGAAGUGAUAGGCGCGUGGCCUCUCCUUAGGCAUCCGAAGCGGGCGAUCUUAAAACUAGUCGGUAUAGCUAUCGCGUUAUUCCUCCUGGGUCUUCUACCCUGGAUAGAUAACUUCGCCCACGUCUUCGGCUUCGUUUUCGGGUUCUUACUCGCGUACGCGUUGUUACCAUUCAUUACUUUUGGGCCUUACGAAAGGCGAAGAAAGAUUGCGUUAGUUUGGGUCUGCCUGGUGUCGGCCGGUGGGAUGCUGUGCGCGCUGGUCGCGUUGUUCUACGCGGCGCCGGCGUACGAGUGCGCGGCGUGCGCAUACUUCACGUGCUUACCGUUCGCGCCCGACAUGUGCGCGUCGCAGGACGUGCGCGUGCGGCAGCUGGACGGGGUAUGACGGCGCGCGGCCCGGGCGCCCCCGCCGCCGCCGCCCCCCCGCCCCGCGCCCACGUGCGCCCGCCCCGCGCCCCCCGAGUGUCCGCGCCCCCCGCGCUCCCCGCGCCGAGCCGCCGCCUAGCGCCGAGCCCACACCGUGCCGCCCAUACCACACCAUCUCUUGGCUCUCGCAGCUUCACUGCUACAGAAACUCAAUUUACAUUUGAGCACCAGGGGCAAGACAAUACCACUCACUGCCAGUCCAAAACAAUGGCCAUGCCAUAAGGGGCGAAUGUUUGAUGUCUUGUGCGUAAUAUACUGUUACUAAAUGGUUUAGAAAAUGUCAUGACGUGAAGAGCUCUCAUAAAGAUAAUUAAUUUACUAAGUAAAUGAAAAGUAAGUAUGAAUGCGAUGUAUUACAUAAUGUACUCAUUCAGAGUUGAGUUUCUGUAUUGAGUGUGCUGUGUCGCUACUGCCCGACAAUUGUACGAACGUGUCGGUAUGAGAGUGAGCUCUACUUACUAUCUAGGCGAUCCUUUAAGGUUUUAUAAUCGUCAAACUAGACUAUUAUAAAGUGUAUGCGAGUAUAUAUAUUUUCAUCGAUUAUUAUUUAAUUUAUCGAUAGAGACGUAUUGUUGGAUAUUAAGAUUUGUUGUUUUGUGGACUCAUGAUUUGUCCCUGAAUUUCGAGUGCGAACGAUCGAAUUUAUUUUCCUAGCAUAUUUUUCGAUGUCAUGCAUAGUCAUACUUUUAAUACUUGAAUAUUUAAUUCUUACAUGCAAUGUGUUAAGUCUGAUUUUGUAAAAAUAAUUGACAUAGCGUUGUUCAGUCAUGGCUGAUAUACUCGUGAAAUAAAUUCGAUCCGAGUUGUAUUUUAAAUAAAAAUAAUUGUGCUAAAUCCACGGAUAUAGAAGUAACAUUGCGGACGCGACUUACUACUGUAAAUAUUCUGUAAAAUAAACUAAUAUUGUUACGAUCGUAAGUGAGUCGUGGUAAGUGUGGUUACGUUUCGUCGCGUGAGUCUUACGGGAGCUUCGUUACGUCACAUUGUAUAUUGUUAAGCCUGUAUCUAUGUACACAACCUUUACGUAUGUACACAGAUCUUAUAAUAAUAACAUUUCGCACACAGUACCAUUUUAAACAAAACAAUAGCAUAUUCUAAUAUUUCCUCUCCGCUAAUGUGACCUAACGCGGUCCCGUAACAGUGUCAAAAUAUACAUAAUUUAGUAUAUUACUAAAUAAUGUAAAUAUAACGUUAACAAACAUAUUUUUCAUCUAUUAAGUUCACCGUAUAUGAACGAAUUCAGUCUAUGUGUAAGUAUUCUAAUGGAUUUUUGAUUUUGUCAAUUUAUAUAGCUGUAUCAAGUCUGCGUAGAUUUACAUUUAUUUUAUAUAAUAUGCUAGUGAAUAUAAUAUCGUUUAUAUUUAGGAGUAUUUAUUUUACUACUGGCAGGUUGUAGGAGACUUUAUCGUUCACUAUCAUUCAUACUUUAUGUACAUGUUUUAUUACGAAUUUACAUUUAAUACUAGUCACUACGUGAAUUAUAAUAUUUUUUAGUUUAAAAAAGGUACAUGUAAAUAUAUAAAUUUAAUCAAGCGAAAGUGGUGAUCAUUGUAAUUAAACAGUUAUUUUGCUAAGGAAUGUUAAUCGAGAGUGGGUGUGUGAAUGUGACAAUUUUGUACAACUGGCACGAACUAUAGGUACUGUACUUAGUACAUUAUAAUGUUUUAACUCUUAAAUUGCGCACAUAGUUUAGUUAUAUGAAUGUUUCCGUUUCGGGGCAGUUAAGUGGCCAACUCAUAAAGAUACUUGACCUAGUGACAAUUGCAAUGAGCACUUAUUACCUCUAUUCCUUGUUACCGGUUUAAAGCGGUGUAACCAUAGGCAUCAGAAAUUUUUAUAUGGGAAAAGCGUAGAACUAAAAAAAACUCAAACUUUUGGUACGUACUAUUUGAUAGAGAGAUCAUAAAGCUGCGUAUUCACGAGUGGUCAGGUUUGUCGCUCAAAUUGUCAGACUUUUUUACAUGUUAAGAGUCUAUGAUGAAAGCAAGACAGUAACACUAUGUUUUGCGACAAGUGAUGAGCGAUAUCUGUCUUGUAACGAAUAGGAAACUUUAUUUAUCUUCGUGAUAUAUCUUCAGUUUGAAAAGUUGGUAAAUCUCCGCUUUGAUUUUGUGAUAAACUGUUGUUGCUCUAUUCAAUUAUGACAUCAUAAACGAACGGGAUAUAAAUGAACAAAAUUUUAGUAAAUUCGUAAUAUACCUAUGCACAAAGUCUUUAUUUAAUAGCGCUUACAUUUUCAGCACAAAUUGUAAAAACGAGACAUUGGAAAAAGUCUGAAAUCAUAAGAUAUUUUUUUAAAUUAAAAUUAUUCUGUUAAGCACAAUUAUUUUUUCUGUGUAAAAUUACUAUUAUACUAGUUAUGUAGUCACUUGUUUACUUCUUAUGAAUUAAUUAUAAAUUUAGUCUGUAACGUGUUGGUUCACUUUACUGUGACAUAUAUUUUGCUCAGAAGUCUCCAAUAAAUGUGCAAAAAGCAAUAAACACAUGAGAUGGUUGAAAUUGAACUAACGUGUGCAAAUCAAUGGAAGAAUCAAAAAUGUCUAAUUUGAUUUUGAAAAGUGAUUUUAUUUGUUAAAAUCACUGUUUUGCACGUCAUGAUCAAGUGAUUUUAAUACAAUAAAGAAUAUUUUUAUACACAAUUGAAUACUAUGAAUGGUUUAAAAAUAAUAUAAAUAUAAUAUUACAAAACUGUUUGAUCUUUCUCAUAACAUCAUUUCAAGCUUUGACACAGCUAUGAAAGAAUGCACAUUUUCUCAUCUAUCCACUCUUUCUGAAAAUAAACAUAACUUUCGUAGUCAGGAACAAAGAUAUGACCGCGUUACGUAAUCUUACGUAACGUAGUAUAAACACAACCAUUGUAGAAACGUUUACUUAAAGGGGACAUUUUUACAUCGUAUCUAUAAUUUGUAAUAUCGUGUUUGAAUGUGUGUGUGAAUAUCUCGAUUACUUUCUUUAAAAAAAACAGUGGACGUUAUCUUAAAGUGCCCUUGUGCCCGGCGGCCCGGCGGACUUUACUCAGAAUAAGACAAACUUACAUACAUAAUUGUACAUUGUGAACAUACACCUAAUUAUUACUUGUAACGUUAAGGAUGGUAAAGUAAUCUUAUUGUAAACUAGUAUUAAUCGAACAAGAAACCUUAUUAUCAUAAUA